AUACAGAGGGGGCAGGCGUUAAUCUGAUUCACUGGGCGUAAAGCGCGCGUAGGAGGCUAAUUAAGUCAAAUGUGAAAUCCCCGAGCUUAACUUGGGAAUUGCAUCCGAUACUGGUUAGCUAGAGUAUGUGAGAUGAUGGUAGACUUCCUGCUGUAGCGGUGACACGCGUAGAGAUGGGGAGGAAUACCGAUGGCGAAGGCAGCCAACUGGCCAAAUACUGACACUGAGGUGCGAAAGCAUGGGGAGCAAACAGGAUUAGAGACCCUGGUAGUCCAUGCCGGAAACGAUGUCUACUAGACGUUGGGGCCCUUGAGGCUUUAGUGGCGCAGCUAACGCGAUAAGUAGACCGCCUGGGGAGUACGGUCGCAAGACUAAAACUCAAAUGAAUUGACGGGG
rnacentral:rRNA from 1 species